rnacentral:lncRNA from 1 species
CGCCUCCGGGGGAGGGGACUUCCCGGGAGCAGCGCGCGGAGGACGGGAGGAGCGCGGCGCGGCGGGCGGGCGGGCCGAGCGGGGACGGGCUGCCGGCGGGAGGGAGACAUGGACCGCAGCGAGCAAGGUCUGCUGAGAACAGACCCAGUACCUGAGGAAGGAGAAGAUGUUGCUGCCACAAUUGGUGCCACCGAGACUCUGUCAGAGGACGAGCGAGAGGAGCUGAGAAGAGAGCUUGCAAAGGUAGAAGAAGAAAUCCAGACUCUGUCUCAAGUGUUAGCAGCAAAAGAGAAGCACCUAGCGGAGAUCAAGCGGAAACUUGGGAUCAAUUCACUACAGGAACUAAAACAGAACAUUGCCAAAGGGUGGCAAGAUGUGACAGCUACAUCUGCGUAUAAGAAGACCUCUGAAACCUUAUCUCAGGCCGGACAGAAGGCUUCAGCUGCUUUUUCGUCUGUUGGCUCUGUCAUCACCAAAAAGCUGGAAGAUGUAAAAUUGCAAGCCUUUUCACAUUCCUUUAGGUGGCCCACCUCCUCUGUUCACAUUAGCUUUAGUUACAGUCUCCCUUUUUCUCAUCCUCCCCAUUUCUCCUUCCUUCAUCCCACUGUGACAUCUGGAACCAACUGGGAUCUCAUUCUAGUGUCCUGUUUGAUCAAAACUCCCCAACUUUCAAAUCAUUUGAAGAAAAGGUCGAAAACUUAAAG